GAGGAAUAUGCUCAAGAUCUAGGGCAUGCCAACUUGUAUGUGGAUCAUGACUGACUUCCUUCCCUGGUCUUCGCUUUACUGCGUGGUGUGUUAUUUCAUCCUCACUGUCACUACUAGAAGACGACUCAGAAGCUGGUGAUAGUCCCUUGACAUCUAGACGGCUCUUAGUGCGCGGGAUAUGCUGAAGAUCUAGGGCGGGCCACCGUGUGUCUGAAUCGAGUUUAAUCAUAUGAGAUUCUUGAAACUGAAACCUUGUCACAUUCAUCUCUCCAUGCUUCUGCUUCUGCAUGUGGUCCAUUGUUUCAUCUGUACUGUCAUCACUAGAGGAUGAAUCAGAAGCAGGUAACGGGGCGUUGAUUUUCAAACUCCUCUUGAUUUGGGGUAUACAUUGGCGAUCCAGGUCAGUUGACAGUAUUUCUGGCUCAAUGAUUUCGAUCCCCUCAUUCACUCUGCCUGUAUUUUGUUCCACUUUUAGGUCUGUGAUUUCCGCUUCACUCUCACUGCUUGAAGAGGAUGAAUAUGCUUCAGGUGGUGAAGGUGCUACGCUAUCCAGACAUUUACUGGUAACACCCAAGCUGGUUACACGCCACUUUGUCCGUGGCAUGGGUUUAACUUUCUCCCUGGUAUCCCACUCUCUUGUAACUAUGCUGCUGCUUUGCAUGUCAGCUACACUAAUGGACUUGUCCUUCCCCUCUCCUUUUUGUGGUUCACGUUUGACUUUGUAGUCUUCCCCAUCACUGUCACUGGAAUGAGAGGAAAAUGAGUGCUCUGGUCUCAAUGCAGGCCUUAGUGUGUCAUAUCUGUAAUCAUUUACAGGUUUAUUGUGGUUCCCUUCUAUAUCCUCCUCCUCUUGGUCUGAGUUCACAGUGUAUUGUGUAGGCUCAUCCACACUGACAUAUGAGCUGGAGCUGGACAUAUCAUCCCUCUUCUGUUUAUCUGAAGUGGGUGCCACAGUCAGUUUUGAAUCAUUAAAAGAACUACUACUGCUGGACCUUGCAGAUGUGCUUUGAACGGAAUCGCUAAAUUCAAAUUGUUCUCCAUUCUCCUGCCACAGAUCAGGGUCUUUUAGGUUGGUGUUAUAUGUAUGUGGUGACCAGUCUGCAAAGGGCUCAGAAGAAAAUCCAUGAAUUUCACCUGUUCCCUCUUUGGAAAUUUGUGGCACCUCUAUUUUUCUAGCUGUUGAGAAAUCCACUGUCUGCUGAACAGAGUCCUCUGCCAGCUGAGGAGAAUUGAGUGUUGUGUGGUCUUGCUGGGUCUUUUGGUCCUCAUUAAAUACUUUGUUUGAUAGUGAAGAAUCUGAGCAUGAAGACAAGCUUCUCCUCUCCUCCAGCUCAACAGGGUCCGGGAUGUGUUCACACUCUGUGUUGUGUGUGCGGCCUGCAUCAGUGAUAUCUGAGAGGUCUCUGCCAUCCCUCUGGUUAUCCUCUAUGCUACUCUGUUGUAAGCUGUUUUCAAUUUGUGAAUCUCCAGCUGUAUGUGUAUUGUUCUCUGCCUCAGCUGCUUCACAUUCAAUCACUGCAUCAUUAUUGAUGCUUUCCUGAUCACCACUGGCUACGGUGUCAUAAUAUUGUACAUUGCUGAAGUCUACAGUGCUAAAUGUGACUCUCCUUUCCCUGUGAGUUCCUAUCUGCUCUGGUUCCUCACCAUUGGAGUAGGCCUCAUUGUCAUACUGUCUUUGUUCUACAGAUGAGACAGAGUUGGUUGCAGAGGAACGUUUCCCGUUGGUGACCCUUCUCCAAAGAACAUCUAUACAUGGUCUUGCUAAGACUCCUAGGAUAAAGGCUAUCAGAAAUGUGAUGAAAAUAGACAGACACACAGCCAGAGCCAAGUUAGACUGGUUAGCUCUCUGAUUCCUUUCUUGACCUAUCCUAUUUAGGGUGUCUUGUGGGAUUAUUUGUUGGCUGGUUCUGGGUAAACUUCUAGUUUUUCUUCUUGCACCUCCUAUUUGACUGAUCUGGAGGUUAAAAACAGACACAACUUCGUGAUCUUCAGACACACACACAUAUAGUCCUGUGUCUCUCUCUGUGACGUCACUGAUGAGCAGACCAGCCUGAGGCUGGCUCACAGAUGCUUGACCACUGGGUGUCCACCACACCGAAUCUACAAAAAAAAAGAAGACAACAUUAGCAUGCAGUUGGACUGACCUACAUUGUUAUAUAUGCAUUAAGUGACUUGACAAUUUUUUGACUGUGUUACCUAGUGUAGAGCAAGACAGCAGUAUCUCAGAGCCACUAUAGACCGUCACAUCUUGGUGGAUCUCUGGCCUGUAUUCGGUACUGAAACAGUUAAGGUCAUUGUCCUCCAACUGUAGCAGGUCUCUGCCAGAGAGGAUGGAGGGGGAGGCACACACCACGCUCCAGGCCUGCAGGCCUCUGCUGCUGUCAUAGGCCAUCCGCCUUUUUACACUGUGCAUGCUGCAAUCACACUGCCACCUGUUCCCAACCAGCCUAACAUCAGCCCCAAUGUUACGCAGAGAAAGGUACAUCAAAGGAUGGAGGCUGGUCAACAUGUUAAAGCUCAGAUCAAUAACCUUUGAGGGGAACACAAUAAGGACAUACAGCAGAUAUGUAAGAGACAUGCAAUUUGAUUGCAAAAACAAUUAAAUUCAGUAUUUGCUAAUAAAAAAAAAUUAAAAGCUUUUUUAAAUAAUCUUUUAAUUAACUUUUUCUGGAAAUGAACAAAGAAUGUGUGGCAUCACUGAGUUUAUUUUUAGAAUGCUGGAUAUUCUGUGCAUGUUUUCAAUAAGUUUGAUCAGUGUUACCCGGAGCUGGGCUAAAUCCUGGAACAUCUGUGGAUGGAGACUUGUGAUGAGGUUAUGUUGUAGGUGUAGCUCUUUUAGCUGUCGAAGGUGGGCAAGGUCUGCUGGUUUUAGUGUUGAGAUCUUGUUGAAGGAGAGCUGCAGAACCUGUAAGGACUCACUACCUUCCAGCCCUGCAUGACAGAAAACCAGAGCUGUAAUUAGAACAAUAACCAUGGUGGCGCGGCUCCUGAAGGGAGCAAGGAAUGCACUGUUACAGGUUUUCAGUUGUCUUCUCAGUGAUGUAAGCUACUGCUGUACCUUCAUUGUGAUUUGAAAGGUGAAGUACUGUUUUCAGCUGACGUAUUUGUUUGCUGUACUGCAGUAUUUUCAAAGCUGAGAUUAAAUAAUGUAAACUACUGGCCUCUCUCUCUCUCUCUCCCUGUUUCUGGACUUCUAGAUAGUGAAUAGUGUAAAAUGUCAAAAUCAAUGAACACCCUUUCCCUGGAAUAUGAAUCCAAAUUCUGCUUCUGGCUUAUUUUCACUAUGAACACCCACACAAUAAUGACCAGAGACAAUCUCCCUGAGACUGCUGGGCUGAAGUAAGGCUCCAUGGGUCUGCGCUUCAUUAGAGAGGCACUGAAGGUUCCGUGAGCUGAAUACCAAACAGGAAAGAAGUGUAUGACUGUCAACACAGCUCUUCUUGCUAAAUGUCUUUUUAAAGGAACCAUGGUUGAAUGUAUUUCUUUGAAACAUACACAUAUGUUCAACCAAGCAGAAGGAAUUCUAUAAAAUAAUAUGGUGCAGGGGAAAAUGCUAAAGUUGUACUGCAUGUUUGCACCUUUCUCUGAGCCACUGGAAUGUCAAUAAAAACUGUGCUGGCU